GCAGAUCGCGUGCUUUAAAAAAAAACGGAUAAACAGACAGAUAAAAUAAUAACAUAAUAACAACGGACGAGUAGCUGUUAUAAUCACCGUCCGCUCUCCUCCAAUACCGAAUAAACUACUGGGACCAAAGAAAGAACCAUUCCAUCUUUCCUGUUCCGUCUGUCUCUCUCUCCUUCCCUUCCUUCCUUUCUGUCUCUCUUCCCCUCUCUCCCCCUCCUUUCUGUCUCUCUUCCCCUCUCUCCCCCUCCUUUCUGUCUCUCUUCCCCUCUCUCCCCCCUCCUUUCCUUCUCUCUCUGUGAUGAGGGGCUGUGGCUGAGGCUGUGGGUGAGGGUCUGUGUCCAGUCUGAAGCUGGGGAAGCUAAAGGUGGUGCGGCGGCAGCUGCUGCAAAGGUAUGAGCACCAGCCGUUUGUGUCAUGUCUGGCUGGUCUAUACGGCUGUCAAUGGAGACGCUACCAGAGGGCCAAGUCACAGCCCGGGGAGAGCUGCUGCAGCAGGG
ensembl:lncRNA